CUCAUCAAGCACCUCCUCGCCAUCCGUUGAGCUCGUGUCAGUGCUAUCGGUGAAUCCGUCGUCUUCCUGGGAGAGCAGGAGGGCGUUGCGUUCGCCAAGCAACAAGGCAUGCAGAUGGAUGAUCGACUUAUCAGCAGAGGAUUCAGAGGAUCUGAAGGCAAGUGGCUUCGUCACCCAUGCAAGGUCAGAAUCUUCGUUGACCGGAAUAUCCAAAUCCCUCUUAAGGCUCUUACAGUUGACCAACCGUGCCAAGAACCCAAUGGGAACGAUGGCUGAGAGAGGCAGAGAAGCUGUUGAAGCAAAUCCGCGUGUGCUCUGAGGGAAGCAAACGAUUUGUAGACGGCACCACAAGCCGAAUGAUGAAGUAGCACAGCGGAUGGCAGUAAGCACCUGACACUUGGCCUCGUCAAUGGAUAUAAUAUUAUUAUGGCUUGCCGUCUCAGAUUCUAUUUGUCCCUCUAGAAUUUAGUAUAGCAUAUACAUAUCACUUCAUAAUAAUGAAUUGGAGUUUCAA